ACGGGAGGCAGCAGUAGGGAAUCUUCCACAAUGGACGAAAGUCUGAUGGAGCAACGCCGCGUGAGCGAUGAAGGCCUUCGGGUCGUAAAGCUCUGUUGUUAGGGAAGAACAAGUGCGAGAGUAACUGCUCGCACCUUGACGGUACCUAACCAGAAAGCCACGGCUAACUACGUGCCAGCAGCCGCGGUAAUACGUAGGUGGCAAGCGUUGUCCGGAAUUAUUGGGCGUAAAGCGCGCGCAGGCGGUUUCUUAAGUCUGAUGUGAAAGCCCACGGCUCAACCGUGGAGGGUCAUUGGAAACUGGGAGACUUGAGUGCAGAAGAGGAGAGUGGAAUUCCACGUGUAGCGGUGAAAUGCGUAGAGAUGUGGAGGAACACCAGUGGCGAAGGCGACUCUCUGGUCUGUAACUGACGCUGAGGCGCGAAAGCGUGGGGAGCAAACAGGAUUAGAUACCCUGGUA
rnacentral:rRNA from 1 species